rnacentral:rRNA from 1 species
CCUACGGGUGGCAGCAGUGGGGAAUAUUGCGCAAUGGGCGAAAGCCUGACGCAGCGACGCCGCGUGAGGGAUGAAGGUCUUCGGAGCGUAAACCUCUGUCAGCGGGGAAGAAAGGUCACGGUGCUAAGCAGCAGUGAAUGGACGGUACCUGCAAAGGAAGCACCGGCUAACUCCGUGCCAGCAGCCGCGGUAAGACGGAGGGUGCGAGCGUGAAUCGGCAUUACUGGGCGUACCGCGCUCGUAGGCGGUAUGUCAAGUCAAGGGUGACAUCCCCGCGCUCAACGUGGGAACUGCCUUUUACACUGGCAAACUGGAGUGUGUGAGAGGAUAGUGCAAUUCCAGGUGUAGGCGUGCAAUCCGUAGAUCUCUGG